rnacentral:rRNA from 1 species
CGCGCAGGCGGUCGGUCAAGUCGAGUGUGAAAGCCCCCGGCUCAACUGGGGAGGGUCAUUCGAUACUGAUCGACUCGAAGGCAGGAGAGGGUAGUGGAAUUCCCGGUGUAGUGGUGAAAUGCGUAGAUAUCGGGAGGAACACCAGUGGCGAAGGCGACUACCUGGCCUGUUCUUGACGCUGAGGCGCGAAAGCUAGGGGAGCAAACG